AUGAGCUUUUAUAGCCUCCAUGAAACGCUGCACACGGAAAUUGCCAAGUACCAAUCCAGGUUCUAUUGGGCUGGCGACGAUGACAAACAGAAGUACCACAUGGUUAGUUGGCAGGACAUUUGUAAACCCAAAGACCAUGGGGGUCUUGGGAUUCUGUCCUCCCGCCGCAUGAACAUCGCCCUCCUGACCCGGUGGUUAUGGCGUAUUGCUAAUGGGGAUGGAGGGUUGUGGCUCACCAUUAUCCGCAACAAAUACCUCCGUGGACAGCCUCUGGCUUUCUGUCAGCGUUCGGGCGGAUCACAGUUUUGGCAGGCCAUCGUUCAGCUGCUUCCUGUGCUUCGCAUUGGCACGUUUAAAAUACAUGGAUGA
rnacentral:rRNA from 1 species